rnacentral:rRNA from 1 species
GAUGAACGCUGGCGGCGUGCCUAAUACAUGCAAGUCGAGCGAACGGACGAGAAGCUUGCUUCUCUGAUGUUAGCGGCGGACGGGUGAGUAACACGUGGAUAACCUACCUAUAAGACUGGGAUAACUUCGGGAAUCCGUAGCUAAUACCGGAUAAUAUUUUGAACCGCAUGGUUCAAAAGUGAAAGACGGUCUUGCUGUCACUUAUAGAUGGAUCCGCGCUGCAUUAGCUAGUUGGUAAGGUAACGGCUUACCAAGGCAACGAUGCAUAGCCGACCUGAGAGGGUGAUCGGCCACACUGGAACUGAGACACGGUCCAGACUCCUACGGGAGGAAGCAGUAGGGAAGCUUCCGCAAUGGGCGAAAGCCUGACGGAGCAACGCCGCGUGAGUGAUGAAGGUCUUCGGAUCGUAAAACUCUGUUAUUAGGGAAGAACAUAUGUGUAAGUAACUGUGCACAUCUUGACGGUACCUAAUCAGAAAGCCACGGCUAACUACGUG